GACGAACGCUGGCGGCGUGCUUAACACAUGCAAGUCGAACGGAAAGGCCCUGCUUUUGUGGGGUGCUCGAGUGGCGAACGGGUGAGUAACACGUGAGUAACCUGCCCUUGACUUUGGGAUAACUUCAGGAAACUGGGGCUAAUACCGGAUAGGAGCGCCUGCUGCAUGGUGGGGGUUGGAAAGUUUCGGCGGUUGGGGCUGGACUCGCGGCUUAUCAGCUUGUUGGUGGGGUAGUGGCUUACCAAGGCUUUGACGGGUAGCCGGCCUGGGAGGGUGACCGGCCACAUUGGGACUGGGGUACGGGCCAGACUCCUACGGGAGGCAGCAGUGGGGAAUAUUGCACGAUGGGCGGAAGCCUGAUGCAGCAACGCCGCGUGCGGGAUGACGGCCUUCGGGUUGUAAACCGCUUUCGCCUGUGACGAAGCGUGAGUGACGGUAAUGGGUAAAGAAGCACCGGCUAACUACGUG
rnacentral:rRNA from 1 species